rnacentral:rRNA from 1 species
GUUUAUCAAAAACAUGUCUUUUAGAAUUUAAUUUAAAGUCUAGCCUGCCCACUGAAUAAUUUUAAAUGGCCGCAGUAUCCUAACUGUGCAAAGGUAGCAUAAUCAUUAGUCUUUUAAUUGAAGGCUGGAAUGAAUGGUUGGAUGAAAUAUUAACUGUUUCAUAAAAAUUUAUAAUAGAAUUUUAUUUUUUAGUCAAAAAGCUAAAAUUAUAUUAAAAGACGAGAAGACCCUAUAAAUCUUUGUAUUUUAUUGGGGUGAUAUUAAAAUUUAAUAAACUUUUAAUUUAAAUUUUACAUUAAUUAAUGAGUUAUUGAUCCAUUUAUUAUGAUUAGAAAAUUAAGUUACUUUAGGGAUAACAGCGUAAUUUUUUUAGAGAGUUCAUAUUGAUAAAAAAGAUUGCGACCUCGAUGU